rnacentral:rRNA from 1 species
AGCGGCGGACGGGUGAGUAACGCGUGGGUAACCGUGCCUCAUACAGGGGGAUAACAGUUGGAAACGGGCUGCUAAUACCGCAUAAGCGCACAGUACCGCAUGGUACCGUGUGAAAAACUACCGGUGGUAUGAGAUGGACCCGCGUCUGAUUAGGUAGUUGGUGGGGUAACGGCCUACCAAGCCGACGAUCAGUAGCCGACCUGAGAGGGUGACCGGCCACAUUGGGACUGAGACAUGGCCCAA